rnacentral:rRNA from 1 species
CCCCCCUCAAGAUGAGAUUUCCCAAUUAGUAAGACCCCUUGAAGACGACGAGGUAGAUAGGUUGGGGGUGGAAGUGCAGUAAUGCAUGGAGCUGACCAAUACUAAUCGGUCGAGGGCUUAUCCUAAA